GUUAUCUUUUCCAUUAUUGGAAGCCUUGACCACUUCAAGCAAGUUGAAGGCAGAACACUCCAAGCAUGAUGGAAUCCCUUCUCUUGUCCGGCAGCAUUAGUGGAUGCUGGCGAGAUGACCAUCAAGGCUGAAGUAUGGCAACACUGUGCUGUUUGAGAGUAAACGGAGAGACAAGUUGCAAUUGAAAAUGUUAUCUUUUCCAUUAUUGGAAGCCUUGACCACUUCAAGCAAGUUGAAGGCAGAACACUCCAAGCAUGAUGGAAUCCCUUCUCUUGUCCGGCAGCAUUAGUGGAUGCUGGCGAGAUGACCAUCAAGGCUGAAGUAUGGCAACACUGUGCUGUUUGAGAGUAAACGGAGAGGUAUGUA